AUAAUUGGCUUUGUUAUAAAAGUAUUUCAUGACCGGUGCGGAUUUUAGAGAUGUACAAGAGACAAAUGUUACAUUAAUGUUUAAUGCCUUGUGAUACGGGUCUAUGUGCACUCACACACAGUCACUACGUCAUUGCACAACACAAGAUCCAAUAUCUUACCAUAUACGUUAGACACUCCAUUAUACUGGUACAAGUCAAGAUAACUUAGCUCAUCGAUCAAAUUACACUCAUCCAUGGAAGUAUAAUUAGAUGGUAAUAAAUGUCGGCUACUUGACGUCCACACAAUGUUACUUAGAUUAAAAUCACCGAUAAUUAGGAAUUUAUCGUCAGGAUUAUUAAUUAUUACUUCUCCUAGUUUAUCAAGAAAAUUAGAGAGUUGACAAGAAAAAGAGUAACCCUGCCCUUGCUUGCAUAAGUAAACAACACAUAAAUGUAGCUUAACCGUUCCAUUAUUAACCAACAAAGUGAGCCAUAAGUCUUCCGCCGAAGAAUGGUAGGUAGGCUGCGGAUUGACGGCCAAUUCUUUCCGCGUAGCAAUAAUAACACCGCCACCUCGACUCUGGCCCGUAAGCGCCAGGUCGCGGUCACGCCGCCAAACUACAUACCUGCUAUCAAAAAGUUCCGAAUCCACGAUACCGUCCACAAGCCAUGUCUCUGUUAAAAAUAUUACAUCAUAGGAGGCAAAUAGAAUAUUGCGAUAGAAAUCUAUAGUUUUGGAUCGAAGACCCCUAACAUUCUGAUAAUAAACAGAGAGUAUUCCGUUAUAGUUACUAGACAUUAUAAGAGGCUAAAGAUAAAACACAAUAGCAAUUACAUAAUCGAUAGAAAUACGAGGCA